UACGUAGGGGGCUAGCGUUGUUCGGAUUUACUGGGCGUAAAGCGCACGUAGGCGGUUCGAUCAGUCAGGGGUGAAAUCCCAGAGCUCAACUCUGGAACUGCCUUUGAUACUGUCGAUCUGGAGUAUGGAAGAGGUGAGUGGAAUUCCGAGUGUAGAGGUGAAAUUCGUAGAUAUUCGGAGGAACACCAGUGGGGAAGGCGGCUCACUGGGCCAUUACUGACGCUGAGGUGCGAAAGCGUGGGGAGCAAACAGG
rnacentral:rRNA from 1 species